CUGUAAGUUAUUAUCUCUGAAAAGUUUGUGAUUCAAGUCUGCACAGUUUCUUCUCCUACUGCUACUGGAAAGAAGGGUGAUAAUCUCAUAUUUUUUAUUUUUGCAGGACGCAUAGACAUGCUGACGAUCAUGGCCAUGCGCUGGAACCAACAAAAAGUUUGACAACUUGGCUUCUACCCUUGCCCGCCGAUAUCGGAAGGCCACAAUAGCCCUGCAAUGCCAGUUGCAUAACCUGGAGGCCAUGAAAACGGAAAUGGGACGUCUCAGACAAUCAACUGGAGAGGUGGAUCACUGAUAUCAAUGAGUGGGCAGAAGCAACAACAUCCCCAAAUGAUGCUGAUGUUGCCGCUGUUGCCAGCCGAAUUGAGGAGCUGGUGGCAAGUGUUAAGAGGAGGUCCCAGCGUCUUUACAAGGAUAGUGACGGAUGCAAAGGACGUGCCCGAAUCCGCCGAAAGAUCAGGGAGGAAAAAAAAAUCUUAAAUUCUGUAGUGGAAAAGUAUAACACCUUGGUUCCUAAUGCAGAAAAACUGACAUUGGACACCAUUCUAUCUGAUGAGAUUGUUUGGCGAUGGCAGCUUACACACGGUGACUCUGUAGAUCUAAGGACAAAGAGGAAGGCGUUCGACAUUGUGAUGGCAGUAAGGAGACUUGAGGAGGAGAAGAGGAUUCUUAUUGCAGAGAUGAACAAGCAUUGGAAGUCUCUUUGCUCCCGUGCAGACACCCUGAAGCAGAUGUCAUCCCAGCUUUCUAAUGUGACAUCAGGUGAGACGUGGGGCCUGCUUCAAGAUGGUAUCCGAGGUCUACAGAGCUUGACGAUGAAGAACAAGCAAGCAAGCAACAGCCUGGCAAAGCAUGCAAAGAAAUAUUAUGUUCAAGUUCUGACUGAAACAGAAAUUAACUUUGAUAGUGAUUCUGAGGAAUACCAUACCAAUAGUGACUCUGAGCAAGAUUAAACAUGGCCAGAGUCCUUUUUUAUGCUGUUGUGUGCUGGGGAGGCAGCAUUAAGAAGAGGGCCGCUGGGACAGGUUGGUAAGGAAAGCUGGCUCUGUGUUUGGCAUGGAGCUGGAGUUAAUCAUUUAACAAACUGAGGAUAAUUUGCAGUAGCAGUCUUCUGUCAUGCUCAACAUUGAGGAGGUCCUUUGUCCCCAGGGCAUACCAGCAACUCAAUGUCACAGAAAAGGUUAGGGGAGAAAUGGACUUUUCAGCAUGAGUCUCACCCUGCGCCAACCAUUACAUCGCUUUGUCUAUUGUCUAGUAUCCACUAUCCAUUUGACUGUCUUACAGGCUACAUUAGCCCCUCUACACAUUCUGGACUGUGGUUUCAACAUUUACCCCUGUUGGCUUGUAUAAUCUUUUCUCUUUUUAUAUAUAUAUAUAUUUAAGUUUCUGUUUUUCUAUCUAUUUUAACUUCCUUGUAUUGUUUUUGUUAAGCAAUACUAUUAUGCUCAGACUCUUUUUUCCAUAGUCAUAUUAAACAUGCACAGCUUUGCACUGAUUAAAUCCCUGCACUGUUUACUUUUGCACUACCACCACUGCAAAUCACUCUAUAGCUGCCCAUCAUGUAUCACAGGGUCAGUCCCUACCAGGCCUUUGUAAUCACUUGACAUGCUCUUCACUUUUUACAUUUGUGAUUUUUGUUAUGUGUCUGAGCUGUGUGUUGUUUUUGUGGUUGUAUAAGCUAAUAAAUGCCUAAAAUGUGGUGUGUCGUCUUAAGUAGCCUACAGUGUCUGUACUAGGGGGAAGAAGACAUUUCAUCAUGACAGUUUCCUCCAUCUCCUAGAGACAUCUUACAUGGAUACACAGAUAACAUUUAUUCACGAGAUCAUAUGGUUUAUAUGUAUUUCUUUUAAUGUUAUUAUUUCUGUCUUAUUGCCAGGGAAGCUGGAUUGCUUUGUUUAUUGAUAUUUUUAAAACUACAAUGCUACAUCUAUCAACAUUUAUUUGGAUGUUAUCAUGGUAUUCAUUACAUUAUUUUAAUAAUAUAAUUUCAGUCUUAUUAUUGGUGAAACAUUACAGUAUGCUGUAAGACAGAACACUACAAUGUGGGCCGAGUGGGUCACAUGCGAAUCCCAUAUCCCGCAAUGCAGGUCAGGG
ensembl:lncRNA